rnacentral:rRNA from 1 species
GACCUCAAAUCAGGUAAGACCACCCGCUGAAUUUAAGCAUAUAAUUAAGCGGAGGAAAAGAAACUAACUAGGAUUCCCUCAGUAGCGGCGAGCGAAGCGGGAAGAGCUCAACGUGAAAAUCUGGGAGCUUUGCUCUCCGAAUUGUAGUCUAAAGAGGCGCUCUCUGUGCCGACCCAGGUAUAAGUCCCCUUUUGAAUGGGGCGUCAUAGAGGGUGAUAACCCCGUUUAUGACCUGGGCGUUUCGGUGCUGUACGAGGCGUUUUCGUCGAGUCGGGUUGCUUGAGAAUGCAGCCCCAAUUGGGUGGUAGACUUCAUCCUAAGCUAAAUACUGGCGGGAGACCGAUAGCGAACAAGUACUGUGAAGGAAAGAUGAAAAGCACUUUGAAAAGAGAGUUAAAGAGGACCUGAAACCGUUAAGGGGGAAGCGAAGAGUGCGAGUGGUGUAGCACGCCGUUCAGCGCGCUGCGGCGCGUGUACUCGGUGUGCUAGCCGUGUGGGCCGGCGGGCGAAAGUAUGUUCUUUUUUCGCGGGGGUUCUGUAUGGGACCUGCUCUGCGGCCUGCCGCCGCGCACACGAAAUGGCGCUCUCCGACCCGUCUUGAAACACGGACCAAGGAGUCUAACAUGGGUGCGAGUGCUCGGGUGGCAAACCCCUGCGCGGAAUGAAAGUGAAUCGGUGGGAGCGCUGCGCCAUUGUGCGGGGGCGUGCACCAUCGUCCGACUUUGAUCUUCUGAGAAAGGUUUGAGAACGAGCAUCUAUGCUGGGACCCGAAAGAUGGUGAACUAUGCCUGAGCAGGGUGAAGCCAGAGGAAACUCUGGUGGAGGCUCGUAGCGGUGCUGACGUGCAAAUCGCUCGUCGGACUUGGGUAUAGGGGCGAAAGACUAAUCGAACCAUCUAGUAGCUGGUUCCCUCCGAAGUUUCCCUCAGGAUAGCGAGAACGUGGGAUUCAGUUUUGUCAGGUAAAGCGAAUGAUUAGAGGAUUGGGGGGAUUCGUUCCUUCAGCCUAUUCUCAAACUUUAAAUAGGCAAGGCGCGCGAGUUGCUUGGUUGAACUUGCGCGGACAAUGAACGUUCUCAGUGGGCCAUUUUUGGUAAGCAGAACUGGCGAUGCGGGAUGAACCGAAAGCAAAGCUAAGGUGCCAAACUGUACGCUCAUUUCGAACCCAUAAAAGGUGUUGAUGCAUCUAGACAGCAGGACGGUGGCCAUGGAAGUCGGAACCCGCUAAGGAGUGUGUAACAACUCACCUGCCGAAUGCAUUAGCCCUGAAAAUGGAUGGCGCUCAAGCGUGCGACCGAUGCUUUGCCGUGCGUCCAAGUGCGAUGGACCUUGCAUGAGUAGGAGGGCGUGGGGUUUGUGACGCAGCCUUGGGCGUGAGCCCGGGUGAAACGGACCCUAGUGCAGAUCUUGGUGGUAGUAGCAAAUAUUCAAGUGAGAUCCUUGAAGACUGAAGUGGAGAAGGGUUCCAUGCGGACAGCGAUUGGACAUGGGUUAGUCGGUCCUAAGAGAUGGGGAAACUCUGUUUCAAGUGCCGGCUUGGUUCGGCAGGCCAUCGAAAGGGGAUUGGGUUAAGAUUCCCAAACCGGGAUGUGGGGAGUUUAGGCGGCAACGCAAGUGAGCUCGAAGACGUCGGCUGAAGCCCUGGGCAGAGUUGUCUUUUCUGUUUGACGCGCCUAGCGCCCUGGAAUCGGAUUAUCCGGAGAUAGGGCUCGUUGGCCGGCAGAGCGUCGCGCGUCCUGCGGCGUCCGGUGCGCUUCAGACGGCCCGUGAAAAUUCGAGCAAACCGAGUGCCUUCACGCCCGGCCGUACCCAUCACCGCAUCAGGUCUCCAAGGUGAGUAGCCUCUAGUCGAUAGAAGAAUGUAGGCAAGGGAAGUCGGCAAAUUGGUUCCGUAACUUUGGGAAAAGGAAUGGCUCUAAGGGUUGAGCCGCGCGGUCUGUCGGAAGAAGCGCGGCGUGCGCCGCGCUCUAGCCCCGCCUGCCUUCACGGGGAGGCGGGGCCGGGGCGCGGCGCGUGCUUUGCGUGGACACUGGCGGAAGGGCCUUUUCCCUCGGGAGGGGGCGCGCUCGCGCGGCAAGGAACAACCAACUUAGAACUGGUACGGACAAGGGGAAUCCGACUGUUUAAUUAAAACAAAGCAUUGCGAUGGCCGGAAAUGGUGUUGACGCAAUGUGAUUUCUGCCCAGUGCUCUGAAUGUCAAAGUGAAGAAAUUCAACCAAGCGCGGGUAAACGGCGGGAGUAACUAUGACUCUCUUAA